rnacentral:rRNA from 1 species
GAUGAACGCUGGCGGCGUGCCUAAUACAUGCAAGUCGAGCGAACAGAUGAGGAGCUUGCUCCUCUGACGUUAGCGGCGGACGGGUGAGUAACACGUGGAUAACCUACCUAUAAGACUGGGAUAACUUCGGGAAACCGGAGCUAAUACCGGAUAAUAUAUUGAACCGCAUGGUUCAAUAGUGAAAGACGGUUUUGCUGUCACUUAUAGAUGGAUCCGCGCCGCAUUAGCUAGUUGGUAAGGUAACGGCUUACCAAGGCAACGAUGCGUAGCCGACCUGAGAGGGUGAGCGGCCACACUGGAACUGAGACACGGUCCAGACUCCUACGGGAGGCAGCAGUAGGGAAUCUUCCGCAAUGGGCGAAAGCCUGACGGAGCAACGCCGCGUGAGUGAUGAAGGUCUUCGGAGCGUAAAACUCUGUUAUUAGGGAAGAACAAAUGUGUAAGUAACUAUGCACGUCUUGACGGUACCGAAUCAGAAGGCCACGGCUAACUACG